GGCUGCCGGGCUCCCCGCCUCUCCCCCUACGCUCGCGGGGGGCGCCGCGGCCCCUCUUCUCUCCAACGCCCCUGCGGGGAGACAGCCCGGAGAGCAGCAGGAGGAAGAGGAGGCGAUGGUGAAAAAGACAUCUUGUUGUCCCAGCUGCAGUUUGCCGAGCUAGGGCAUUUAUCUUAGGGGGGACAGAAUGCACCCCAGGAAAUCCACGUGUGUUUGGAAUAACACGGCACUUAAAAUAACAAGAAACGUUUUUACAAAUAACCAAAAAACAGCGUUAAAAGCUAAAAAUUAUUUUCCGAAUUUUUUAAACGCUGAGCGUACGUUUUCCGUGAUCUCACGAGGGAUCCCUCGGAGCUGCUGAAGAAGCGGCGAUGUUGUAGGACCCUGCGGCAAGGUUCACACCAAACUCAACACCGGACGCCCCUCGUGGGCACAGAAGAUGCCGAUAUUAGGGCUCCCCUGCAGGUCCCCUACCCAGGAACGAAACCAGGCACGCUGGUUCUCAGAGAAUUGAAAAGCUGGGAAGUAUGGAGUAGGUGAUAAUAAAGAAAAGCUAUAGCGAAUAUGCAGGUAGGGCUUUAAAAGUAUUUCCUCAAAGCGUGGUAGAAAUAGACACGUGGACGCUGGCCUUGAACAGCUGAGGGGGACUCCGAGGCGUCUCCUCAAGGAAGCAGUUAAAUCCAACAUCCUAGAAAGAGAGGGAAAGAAACUCCAACAUGACCCUCGGGUUUUGACAAAGGGACCCCUGACAACAUGUGACUUAAUUAGGACAAAACUGAAGUAAAGCUCCCACAAGAUUCCUGGGAACUGAGUAGAACUGCUUCACUGGAGGCCAAGGAAUCUGUCUGUAGAGGAUCAGAAACCCAUAUCUGACCCAGCAUGUGAGAAGCCAGGAAUAGUUGCCGGCACCCACCCCCGACGGUCAGAUGCGCUGCCAGGCCCUGGAACUGCGGACAUGAGUGGAACAGGGUUCCCUGCCCUGAAGGACUCAGAUUAGAUCCAUCACCCAAGUUCCAUGGGCUUCAAAGAAGGCAGACCUGGAUUCCAAAUGCUGCUUCCCCAUUUCCCAGCCGUGAGACCACAGGCAAGUUCCUUAACCUCUUACAGUUUCCAUUUCUUGAUUGGAAUAUGCACGUCUCACUGAGAUGUUACAAGGCCUAAAUAAGGUAAGCUAAGUCUCACACCUACUACAGGGCUUGCCCCACGUACAUCUUCCAAAUGGCAACUGUUAUAAUCACCUCUGGGUUAAUCCCACCCUGGCCCUGGCCACACGUGCGACAUCUCUUUUCUCUGCCGGCAGUUCUGAAGGUGCUUUCAGGUGGUGAAGACAUUCUCUCAAGCACAGGGGAGCAUAGAACAGCAGAGGCCACUGGACUCAUUUUUCACUUUUAAAUCCAGGAAAGGAGGUUAGUAAGUCACAAAUCAUGACCUAACCACAUGAACCACUAUUGAAAACAGACCUUAGUCAGUGUGGUCAUACGUAACUGGUAGAUUCUUUUUUGGUAAAUGUCAGUACCCACCACUGGUUUGAGAUAAGUCAGGGCUGAGGGUCCCCCCACCCCACCCCCAGCCCCAUACACUUAACAAAAGGUAAUUUGUUUGAAUGGAAGCAAGUCACAGACCAAACGCAAACAUGUAUUGAACAUAAAAAGAAAGCCCAAUAUAGUCCUACACCGUGUUUUGGGUUUUUUUUUUUUCCUGAGAUUUUUUGGCUGUGUUGGGUCUUCGUUGCUGUGCGCGGGCUUUCUCUAGUUGUGGCGAGUGAGGGCUACUCUUCGUUGCGGUGCGUGGGCUUCUCAUUGCGGUGGCUUCUGUUGUUGCGGAGCACAGGCUCUAGGCAUGCUGGCUUCAGUAGUUGUGGCACACGGGCUCAGUAGUUGUGGCUCGCG